UGCUAUUGCGAAUUGACCUGA
rnacentral:piRNA from 1 species